CCUACGGGAGGCAGCAGGGAGGAAUAUUGGUCAAUGGGCGGAAGCCUGAACCAGCCAAGUCGCGGGAGGGAUGAAGGUGCUAUGGAUUGUAAACCUCUUUUAUAAGGGAAUAAAGUGCGGGACGUGUCCCGUUUUGUAUGUACCUUAUGAAUAAGGAUCGGCUAACUCCGUGCCAGCAGCCGCGGUAAUACGGAGGAUCCGAGCGUUAUCCGGAUUUAUUGGGUUUAAAGGGUGCGUAGGCGGCCUUUUAAGUCAGCGGUGAAAGUCUGUGGCUCAACCAUAGAAUUGCCGUUGAAACUGGGAGGCUUGAGUAUGUUUGAGGCAGGCGGAAUGCGUGGUGUAGCGGUGAAAUGCUUAGAUAUCACGCAGAACCCCGAUUGCGAAGGCAGCCUGCCAAGCCGUGACUGACGCUGAUGCACGAAAGCGUGGGGAUCAAACAGGAUUAGAUACCCUGGUAGUC
rnacentral:rRNA from 1 species